rnacentral:antisense_RNA from 1 species
AGCGAACAGGUGUUUGGUUAAUUCCCGCCCCCACCCCCAUCUUUUUUUUUUUUUUUUUCCAAAGGCAUGUAAAAGUAUCUCCUAAGGAGCGCCCCCGCCUUGCUGGGAAAGUCAUGCAGGACACAUGGAAAGUGGCUUUCCAACUUGUGCGGGGCGCGCCAGUCUGCGGGGGAGACGGGGUGCACCGUGAGUUUGGGAAAGGCCUAGACCAUCCUGGAACUACGCUCCCUGCAAACCCACAGCAGCGCUGCGGUGACCCUGAACGCCACCCCAGCCCCAAACACACACGUGAAGCUCAGCAAAGCGUGCCACCUGCCGGGGUCCCAGCAAACAUGCCCGGAGGGAAGAACCGGCGGAAAGCACUUUGUUUAAAACAGAAAAAAAAUUGCCAGUGCAUGGCCAACGAGAAGCCGAAGAGGCUCCCGGGGUCUCCAUAUUUCCGGAUCACGUUGUCCUCCCGAGUGUCCAAGUUGAAGGCUGCGCCAAGCCGGGACAGGAGCCCCGCCGACAGGUAGAGCAAGCACAGCUGCCCCGCGGCGGCCAUGGGCGGACGCACGGG